UAGCAAUGGCCCUUGCUUAAUAAGUGCCUGUGUGGGGCGGAGGAGUAUGAGCUGGAGAUACCGAGAUGGCCUCACUCACCAUGAACCCAAGCAGAGAACGAUCUUCAAUUUCUGAUGCCUCCUGCCUCCACUUCCUGUGUGAGGAGAUUACAGACAUGCACUGCAAUAUCCAGUUUAUGGUUUCUGUGGAGCUAGGGAUCGAGCUCAAGGCGCACUGCAUCUUAGGCAGGCACUCGAGCGAACGCCCCAGACAUCCAUCCACAGAUUUUAGUUUGACUCUCUCACGGAUAGCCAACUUUGAGAAACCUUCCUUUUCCUGUUUGGCCUUCGCUCACGUGGACUGCUAAGUCUUACGCAUCUUCCGAGGUUUAACGGUUUACACUGCUCAUUACUUUGUACACAGCUUGAACUCGGUUUUUUUGCUAGAAGAUGCUUUGACUCAAAGUCAUCUUUCCUUCCCCUUUCUAGGUUAUGUGUGAUACCCUUGAAGAGGAUUGUUCACGAACUACGGUUGCCACCUUGCCUUUCCCCACAUGGGAUGCUUUUUCUUUAGUCCUUGAGGACUUAGCAACUGUGAGACUGCUGCCCGUGAUUGAUUCUAACAUCAGGUGGGAUAUUCUGUCCUUUCAGAGUUGGGCUCUGAACAUCUUCCUGUGAAUGUUCAAUAGUGUAACUGCACAGACUUUGGGAACAGAAUGGGCAUUGAAGACACUUUCUUCAGAGAUGUCACUGAAGCUGUAGGAGUGAGUGUAUGUAGAUGCCAAGAAAUUAGAAAAGGAUUAUGUGAGGGGGAAAAGAAGCUUUAAUGGAAAUGGCUAGGGAAAGCAGAAAGCCACAAGUGAUAUAAAAGUGAAAGGAGGAAUGAGGGUGGGCAAGGAGUAUUUAAAUAUUAAAUGGAGAUGAUAGUAGGAAGGAGGAAGAGGAAGAGAGGAGAGGCCAGAGUAAGGACAAAUUCAGUAUACAUGAAAUGCUGUAAGGACGUCUGUGACUUUGCAUAUUCAAAAAAUGAAAGAAAGAGAGAAAAAAGAAAAAAGAGGAGGAGGGAAGAAAGAAAGGGAAGAAGGAAGAAAGAAAAUUGGUUUCUCAUAUGACUGAGGCGUGGCUCAAUGGGUAGCAUGUUUGCUUAGCAUAUGGAAGGCCCUUGAGUCAACCCCCAGCAGUGGAAAAACAAAAGCUAAAAAUGUUCCUGAAGGUUGUGGGUUCUACUGUGUGCUCGGUCCUAGACUAUUAGUAGUGUUUAGAUCGGCUUCCACUGGCCACAGUCCCUGCAGUGACUAGGAAGAGUUCCAAGAGACUUUGUAAUUCCUGGCACAACCACUUCUUCUCUUUCUUUGUCUUCAAAGCAAAGGCCCAUCAGACAAAAGCAUCUUCAAUUAUUUAGCUCUUUUUCUAUUGAAUUAUUUGUAAUGGUUAAAUUUUUUGAUAAUAAAGGACUAUUUGAAAACUUAGAAAUGCCCAUUGUCUGUAAUGUAAAAUACAGAACAUUAAAACCUUGUUCUAGUGUAUUUCCUAAUUUCCUCAUCAUGGUCCUGUUGAAACUCCCCUUUGCAUCUGGUUGUCCAAGAGUGUGUCCUCGUUGAUUCCACCUCUGGUAGGACUCUGUUUACUUAAUUAUACACUGGCUAAGUCACCUUCCCAUUGAAUCCUAUCAUGGAUUUUCUUAACCCACACUAGACGUCAUGUCGUCUAAUGGCCUGAAGCAUCCUUAUCAUUCUCUCAGGUUGUGCAUACUAUUUUGGGUACCACCCUGAUUAGAGCGAUCCCUGGAUAAUUUAUGAAUUCACUAUACCCGGUACAAUGUUUAUGUAUUCAAGUACUGUCUUAGUGGGCUGUUGGUAAGGAAGUGGUGGAUGGGUUAAUUUCAUUUAGAGUACAUGUCCUUACUCUACCUGCAGUUCUUUCACUGUGACAGUCACUGUGAAUUUCCUCUUGGCAAGGCCCUUACAGUUAGGCUUCUAUGAGGACAACAUCUCUACCAGGAAAGCAAAAGAGAGACUGGAAGCCAAAACUCAAGGAAUUCUGGCCAAAGUCAUAAACAGCCAAAUCUAUACAGAAGUGGAUUCCUAGAAGCAAUUUGCACUGAUUGUGUUUUGGUCAAAUAGGCUUCAUUGAAUGUAUGAGGUAAGACCUCCACUCUGUCAGCUUAAAAUACAAGUAAGCAAGCUUAGGCUAAACUCACCUGGAUCAUUGUUUCAGCCUCUAGCUCUUUUAGAAAACUGUAAUUCAUUUUCUAUAAAUAUUUUGUAGAAUGCUUAUAUUGAUUUAGAAUCAGAAGAUAUUUCUAAUUAUUGAACAUUUCUUCUGGUAUGGAUUUUGGCUGAAGCUACUGUGUUGAAGGAAUUUUUAAAAGUAUAAAUGUCAUAGUAUAGUGAUUAAAGUAAGAAGCCUAUAGGAACAGCAUUUUAUUAAAAUGUGUGCAUUGGCCAGAAAUCCUGGUCUAUAAGUAGGGCUAAGGUUAUUUGCCCCUAUACCUGUCUAUCAGUGCACCAUCAAAAAACAUGUAAAGUUGUUCACUAAUUGUAGCCCAAGUGGUCAGAAGAUAAAAAUAAAUAUAGCUCAUAACAUUACCUCUAAGAAGCUUGCAAAAUUAGCUCAGGCUAGACAAAAUCCCAGCAUGGAGGGGGCAAGGGUGAGAUGAAAUUUUUCUAGUAACUGAGGUGCUAUUGGCCUUUGAGAGCUGCUGGGACAGUUAUCUUUUGGUGGUGUGACCUCUGGCAGGAAGUCUAUAUGCCAGGAUAGGUUCCAGUCCCACAAGUAGUUGGAUAACACAACCUGGAUUCAAUAGGCUUUAAAAAGGGAGAAAAGUCAAAGUUGAGUGAAUAAGGACAUGAGGGCUAAGGGGGUGGCGGAUCUAGGAGGAGCCGUGGAAAGGGGCAAAUAUGACCGAAAUACAUGAUAUAAGAUUCCCAAUGAGCUAAUACAAAUAUUAAUGAUUUUUAUUUUUUAAAAGAUUUAUUUAUUUAUUUUAUUUAUAUGAGUUCACUGCAGCUGUCUUCAGACAGACACUAGAAGAGUGCAUUGGAUCCCAUUACAGAUGGUUGUGAGCCACCAUGUGGUUGCUGGGAAUUGAACUCAGGACCUCUAGAAGAGCAAGCAGUCAGUGCUCUUAACCGCAUCUAUCCAGCCCAUACAAAUAUUAUUUAAAAAUGAAGUUUGCAAUACAUAGGUGGAAAAAUAUGAAUUACUCAUUCAAAUACUAAUUAAUGAUAGAAUAAAAUAGUAUGGUCAUUAUUUGUUGGUGAAUGAUACAAAAAGUAUAUUACUAUGAAAAUAGGAACGUGCUUCUUUUGGUCAGGAUGCCUUCUGGAUGCUCAAAGGAGUAAACACUGGGUUAUAAUUGAAGGAUAGGUGGGUUAUGGGUAAGGGGAAAAGAGAAAGAAUCUUAAUUUGAAUAUGGCUAUGGAGUCAAAGUCAUUUUUUUGGCAAAGCAUUGGCAAAUUAUUUUUUAAGGAGAUGAAAAACGAUAGAUUAAAUUAGAACAGGAAUUUGGGUUCAGAUUGUGGAAGAGUGUGAAUACCAGGUUUAGGGCUAAGGAAUUACCUUGUGAGUGGUGACGGUCCAUUAUUGAAGAUCUGGGUAUGGACAAAAGGAUUGGUCCAAGUUGAGUUUUUGAAAACUUAAUAUUUGUCAGAUAUGCACUACUUGGAAAGGGAGGGCUACACAUGGGGCAAUUCAAAGAUGUCUAGAAGGGUAAUACAGCUGUUGAAGUUCAAGGUAGGCUUCAGAGCGUCAACUGCUCUUCUGUUACUCUUUUGUUAUGAGUUAGUGGCUCAGAUGGCAAAGGCAGCUUCCUUCUCGAGCAGCCCCAGUCAGUGCACCCAGGGCAGGUUUGUGCACCAGAGAGACAGUUCUUGUGGUCAUAAUUUGGUUUAUGGCAUAGAAACAUGCUCCAAAUGGAGACAGUCAGGAUUAUCUGUAGAGCUUUUCCUGUCUUUCCUAUUGAGAAAAAUACUGUCUUCUUUAGGGAUGCUAACCUUGUCAGUGGUCAUAUUCCUAUAACAUUAUUUGGUACCCACCCUCCCACAUGCCCCCCCAUGAUCUCUUGAUAGCCAUGCCUUUGCAUAUGCUUCUUAAUUUUGUGCUAGUGCUGGUUGGUGGGAUGCAUGAGUUGAGUGUAUAGCAGGAAUGAUGGUAUGCUAUAAAGCUGAUAGGCAGGGAAAGACCUGCAGAUUCCAAAAGACAAUCAACAACACUUGAUUAUUGGUUAGUUUUAGGUAUAAGAGAACACAAAGACUUUGAGUUUAACAGAACAAUUACAUGCAUAAUAGAUGUAACCAUGUCUGGAAGGAAGUUGUUCAUGCUGUUGUUGUGAGAAAUGCUUAGGAGAGAUAAAUAAUACAGGUUUACAUUGAGACUCUAAAAAGCAAUAUUAGAAAUAAUUAGGAAUAGUGAGUUACAUUUAAUGUUCUUGAAGUGGGAAACUAGGGUAGCAUCAAAGGCAUAAUAUGCAGCAAAAGGUUUGAUUAUUCAAUCUCAGCUCUAGGCUUAGAUUUUUAAAAACCUACUUUAAUAAGGGCUCUCAAAUGCUUCAACCCCCUUGCUAGCCAACCUUCUAAAGGUAGGGGAGAAAAGAUGGCAAAUAAGACAAGGGGAUGUGGAUCUGUUUAGAAGUAGUUCUUUGGGGCAAAUCUCAUCUCCAUUUGUCAGGAUACCAGCAAUCCAGUUCACUAGUGUCAGGAUACCAACAGUGCAGUUUAAAUCAGCAUGCAUUGAAUCAGCAUUAUCCAGCAGAAACCACCAGGCCUACGGAGUGACCAGGACCAGCCAGUAUGCCAGGAGUUCUCUGCUGUUCCUCUCUCAAUGAAGUGAAAAUCAGCAAAGACUCGAGACCAAUGAACACAGCACCCUGUCUCUGUGUGUUGAGUCCUAUUUAUACUCUCUCUAAACAUAACAUGUCCUGUCAUAGGUCUUGCCUCAGCAAAAUAUCAUGUGAAUCUGCAUCACGUGACAUAACCAGAAAUGUCCAAUUUCCACUUCCCUCAGCUCGUCAAUAUACAACGGCUCUCUCUCUCUCUCUCUCUCUCUCUCUCUCUCUCUCUCUCUCUCUCUCUCUCUCACACACACACACACACACACACACAUAAAUACACACACAGGGGUUGGGGUGCUCAAAGUAAUGGAGACAGUGGCCCAAAGUCUGCUAUUGUAAGCGUGCUGAUGUAUUCCUUUCUGUUUUUCCCUUGCUGUUCUAGAUGGAUCCUAAUCUCUCUUUGUGCAGUCCCAGCUUUCCUGGAAAUAAGGUCAGGGGAUUUGUGGUCAUAUCAUCUCUCAUCCUUGCAAAUUACUUCAGUUCCAUGCUCAAAUGACUCUAGGCUGUGUAAUGCUGGCUGAGUCGCAAAGUGCUCACAGACAUUUCAUCAGUAAAUUGACAAAUCCACAUGCAAAUGCUGUAAGCCCCUAGAACAUCUCUCCUUAUAUUGCUCAACAUAUUUUUCUCUUUAUUUUUGUUUUUAAUUAUCACUUAUUCCUUGUGUAUAAAAAACAAUAUUAAGUAGCAUUAGCAACAACAAAAGCCUUCAUUUUAUUUAGUACUAUCAUGAAGCAUAACACAAUUUUACUUGGAGAAACAGAAACUGUAAAAACAGACCAUAAUAAACAAUUGCAUGGAUUCCUUUUAGCUCAUAAACUGAAAUACUAAUCCUUAAGUAUUUUUGCAUCUUGUUUCAAUAAACUUAAUAAUAAAGUACUUUUAAUAUCAUUACCCAAGUCAUGCUUUUUUGAUGUUUUCAUUAAAAUUUAAUUAAAAUUCAGUGUGUAUGUAAAAGGGGUUUGUGGACUGGAACAAGCUAAUAUCCUUCUCUCUGAAGUGUCUUAUUCAUAUGAGGCCAAAUCUUGAUAUUCAAUAGGGUUUUGCAACACAGCAAACACGGAAGUGGGAUAAAGCAAAGAAAAUCCACCCACCAGACCCACGCCUCCUCUCAGCCUCCCCACAUCCUUACCAUCUUGGAUUCACGUUAUACCUUUUUCCCUUUGAACAUGGAAACUUGAGUUGCAGUAUUUGCUAGUUGCCUGCCUUAGAUGACUGCCCUUUAUUUCCUUUUAAUAAAGUUAACCUUUUCAUAAAAACAGAGACUUCUU